CCUACGGGUGGCUGCAGUGGGGAAUAUUGGACAAUGGGGGGAACCCUGAUCCAGCCAUGCCGCGUGUGUGAAGAAGGCCCUCGGGUUGUAAAGCACUUUCAGUGAGGAAGAACGCCUGGUGGUUAAUACCCAUCAGGAAAGACAUCACUCACAGAAGAAGCACCGGCUAACUCCGUGUCAGCAGCCGCGGUAAUACGGAGGGUGCGAGCGUUAAUCGGAAUUACUGGGCGUAAAGCGCGCGUAGGUGGCUUGAUAAGCCGGUUGUGAAAGCCCCGGGCUCAACCUGGGAACGGCAUCCGGAACUGUCAAGCUAGAGUGCAGGAGAGGAAGGUAGAAUUCCCGGUGUAGCGGUGAAAUGCGUAGAGAUCGGGAGGAAUACCAGUGGCGAAGGCGGCCUUCUGGACUGACACUGACACUGAGGUGCGAAAGCGUGGGUAGCAAACAGGAUUAGAUACCCUAGUAGUC
rnacentral:rRNA from 1 species